UAUAGAGGGUGCGAGCGUUAAUCGGAAUUACUGGGCGUAAAGCGCACGUAGGCGGCUUGGUAUGUCGGGAGUGAAAUCCCCGGGCUCAACCUGGGAACUGCAUCCGAAACUGCCUUGCUAGAGUAUGGGAGAGGGAAGUGGAAUUUCCGGUGUAGCAGUGAAAUGCGUAGCUAUCGGAAGGAACACCAGUGGCGAAGGCGACUUCCUUGACCAAUGCUGAGGCUCAGGUGCCAAAGCGUGGAGAACAAACAGG
rnacentral:rRNA from 1 species